rnacentral:rRNA from 1 species
GUCGAGAAUAAUUCACAAUGGGGGAAACCCUGAUGGUGCAACGCCGCGUGGAGGAUGAAGGUCUUCGGAUUGUAAACUCCUGUCAUCUGGGAGUAAGACCUGACGGUGAAUAGCCGGCAGGGUUGAUAGUACCAGAAGAGGAAGGGACGGCUAACUUCGUGCCAGCAGCCGCGGUAAUACGAAGGUCCCAAGCGUUGUUCGGAAUCACUGGGCGUAAAGGGAGCGUAGGCGGCGUGGUAAGUCAGAUGUGAAAUCCCGGGGCUCAACCCCGGAACUGCAUCCGAUACUGCCAUGCUUGAGGGUUGGAGAGGUAGCUGGAAUUCUCGGUGUAGCAGUGAAAUGCGUGGAUAUCGAGAGGAACACUCGUGGCGAAGGCGAGCUACUGGACAACAUCUGACGCUGAGGCUCGAAGGCCAGGGGAGCAAAAGGGAUUAGAAACCCGGGUAGUCC